UAUAUUUUUAAACAUGAAUCAAAAGAAAUCUUACAGCAUAAAAUUACAUAAAUGCUUUCCAGUUGCCACAGGAUUCUGAAGUUGGCAAUAAAUUUGUCACCAGAAUGUAAAUCUUCUUCACAGAAAUGUGUGCAUUUUUAUCAUACAUGAUCGCUAUGGCUAACAUUUACUCCACUGAGAACUUCAACUCCACUACACUCUCCUCAAUAGAGCCACUUUGUACCCAGGCUGGCUCACCUUAUGGUCCCAGGAUGGACACAGAAGCUCUAGGACUCUCAACCAGACUCAGCAAGAUGAGGAUACAGCGAAGAGAUUGCCAUCCACAAAUCUGGAAGAGGGCCUCAUCAAGAACCCGACCAUGCUCUCAUCCUGAUCUUGGACUUCCAGCCUCUAGAACUAUAAGAAAUAAAUUUCUAUUGUUUAUAAACCACCA